UUUUUUUUUUUUAUUUCUCUCAGGACGAACGCUGGCGGCGUGCCUAAUACAUGCAAGUCGAGCGGACAGAAGGGAGCUUGCUCCCGGAUGUUAGCGGCGGACGGGUGAGUAACACGUGGGUAACCUGCCUGUAAGACUGGGAUAACUCCGGGAAACCGGAGCUAAUACCGGAUAGUUCCUUGAACCGCAUGGUUCAAGGAUGAAAGACGGUUUCGGCUGUCACUUACAGAUGGACCCGCGGCGCAUUAGCUAGUUGGUGGGGUAAUGGCUCACCAAGGCGACGAUGCGUAGCCGACCUGAGAGGGUGAUCGGCCACACUGGGACUGAGACACGGCCCAGACUCCUACGGGAGGCAGCAGUAGGGAAUCUUCCGCAAUGGACGAAAGUCUGACGGAGCAACGCCGCGUGAGUGAUGAAGGUUUUCGGAUCGUAAAGCUCUGUUGUUAGGGAAGAACAAGUGCGAGAGUAACUGCUCGCACCUUGACGGUACCUAACCAGAAAGCCACGGCUAACUACGUGCCAGCAGCCGCGGUAAUACGUAGGUGGCAAGCGUUGUCCGGAAUUAUUGGGCGUAAAGGGCUCGCAGGCGGUUUCUUAAGUCUGAUGUGAAAGCCCCCGGCUCAACCGGGGAGGGUCAUUGGAAACUGGGAAACUUGAGUGCAGAAGAGGAGAGUGGAAUUCCACGUGUAGCGGUGAAAUGCGUAGAGAUGUGGAGGAACACCAGUGGCGAAGGCGACUCUCUGGUCUGUAACUGACGCUGAGGAGCGAAAGCGUGGGGAGCGAACAGGAUUAGAUACCCUGGUAGUCCACGCCGUAAACGAUGAGUGCUAAGUGUUAGGGGGUUUCCGCCCCUUAGUGCUGCAGCUAACGCAUUAAGCACUCCGCCUGGGGAGUACGGUCGCAAGACUGAAACUCAAAGGAAUUGACGGGGGCCCGCACAAGCGGUGGAGCAUGUGGUUUAAUUCGAAGCAACGCGAAGAACCUUACCAGGUCUUGACAUCCUCUGACAACCCUAGAGAUAGGGCUUUCCCUUCGGGGACAGAGUGACAGGUGGUGCAUGGUUGUCGUCAGCUCGUGUCGUGAGAUGUUGGGUUAAGUCCCGCAACGAGCGCAACCCUUGAUCUUAGUUGCCAGCAUUCAGUUGGGCACUCUAAGGUGACUGCCGGUGACAAACCGGAGGAAGGUGGGGAUGACGUCAAAUCAUCAUGCCCCUUAUGACCUGGGCUACACACGUGCUACAAUGGACAGAACAAAGGGCUGCAAGACCGCAAGGUUUAGCCAAUCCCAUAAAUCUGUUCUCAGUUCGGAUCGCAGUCUGCAACUCGACUGCGUGAAGCUGGAAUCGCUAGUAAUCGCGGAUCAGCAUGCCGCGGUGAAUACGUUCCCGGGCCUUGUACACACCGCCCGUCACACCACGAGAGUUUGCAACACCCGAAGUCGGUGAGGUAACCUUUAUGGAGCCAGCCGCCGAAGGUGGGGCAGAUGAUUGGGGUGAAGUCGUACAAGGGGUAACCAA
rnacentral:rRNA from 1 species